rnacentral:rRNA from 1 species
GACGAACGCUGGCGGCGUGCCUAAUACAUGCAAGUAGAACGCUGAAGGAGGAGCUUGCUUCUCCGGAUGAGUUGCGAACGGGUGAGUAACGCGUAGGUAACCUGCCUGGUAGCGGGGGAUAACUAUUGGAAACGAUAGCUAAUACCGCAUAAGAGUAGAUGUUGCAUGACAUUUGCUUAAAAGGUGCAAUUGCAUCACUACCAGAUGGACCUGCGUUGUAUUAGCUAGUUGGUGGGGUAACGGCUCACCAAGGCGACGAUACAUAGCCGACCUGAGAGGGUGAUCGGCCACACUGGGACUGAGACACGGCCCAGACUCCUACGGGAGGCAGCAGUAGGGAAUCUUCGGCAAUGGACGGAAGUCUGACCGAGCAACGCCGCGUGAGUGAAGAAGGUUUUCGGAUCGUAAAGCUCUGUUGUAAGAAAAGAACGAGUGUGAGAGUGGAAAGUUCACACUGGGACG